UGCGCAGGCGGAUUAAUAAGUCGGGGGUUAAAUCCAUGUGCUUAACACAUGCACGGCUUCCGAUACUGUUGAUCUAGAGUCUCGAAGAGGAAGGUGGAAUUUCCGGUGUAACGGUGGAAUGUGUAGAUAUCGGAAAGAACACCAGUGGCGAAGGCAGCCUUCUGGUCGAGUACUGACGCUCAUGCACGAAAGCGUGGGGAGCAAACA
rnacentral:rRNA from 1 species